UACGAAGGGAGCUAGCGUUGUUCGGAAUCACUGGGCGUAAAGCGCACGUAGGCGGAUGUGUCAGUCAGGGGUGAAAUCCCGGGGCUCAACCUCGGAACUGCCUUUGAUACUGGUGAGCUUGAGUCCGGAAGAGGUGAGUGGAACUGCGAGUGUAGAGGUGAAAUUCGUAGAUAUUCGCAAGAACACCAGUGGCGAAGGCGGCUCACUGGUCCGGUACUGACGCUGAGGUGCGAAAGCGUGGGGAGCAAACAGG
rnacentral:rRNA from 1 species